rnacentral:lncRNA from 10 species
CACCCCAAAAGAGGAUUCAGAAGGUUGUUUUGAGAGAAGGAAAAUUGCAGACAACAGGGAAGACUUCUCCAUCAUGAAAGCUUUAAGUUAGGAGAAAAAGGGAGACGAAAGACCAUUGGAAGGAUGCAGACCAGCAGCCUCCGUCCCCUUAACUGGCUGAGCUGCUGGUUUGAGCUAUCUUCUGCAGCUUACAGAAAAUCAAGCUUCUCCCCAAAGAAGAAAUGAAGAUAACUACCCAAAAGGCCGAUGGCUUUACAGCUUGGCAGACAUUGGAAUCCCCUGGAGAACUCUUUUUUUGACACCUGGUGAGGUCUGUGGAGAGAAACCUGCAAGGGAGUGUGAAUCUUCCCUUGUUUUUUUUUUUGCCCCUGGAAACCACCAUUCAACUUUCUGUCUCUGUGAAUUUCACUGUUCUAUGUACCUCAUAAUCCUGCCUUGAUACAAAACAGUAUCACAUGUGUGCACCUAGGGGAGAAGAAGAAGAGAAACAGCUGGAAACGUGGAUCUCAUUGGAUUACAGAGGGCCUUGAAUGCCACAUAAGGAAUUUGGACUUUCUUCUGUGGAUAGCUGCAUUUCGAACUCUCCAGACCUGGCUAAUUACAAAUGACGUGUAUGCACAAAAGGUUAUCAUGGAGCUGCGGUUCACCUUCCAGUGAUGAUCAUCCCACAGCCCCAACCCACACCCUCCACCAACACACAAUUUUAUACACAUAGUGCACACAUACCCCACACCACAAAAUUACCCUCACACACAUGCACCACACAGAGCCCAGACCACACAUUCCUAUACACCACAUGCAUGCAACGCACAUACCAGACACACACAUACACCCGACACACUACACACACCACACACACCCCACACCCCACAACACACCACACACACGCAGUCUGCAGGCUGUCUGGAGGCUGCUGCUGCUAUCCAGAGAGACGUGGUGAAAAGACUAAGCUUUUAGGGACCAUGCAGGCUCAGAAACGGACAAGAGGAAAGAGCUGCGACAAGCAGGUUUUGCUGCAAAGAGGAUAUUAGAGCUAAUUAGACUCACAGCUUUGGACGGACCUCUGAAUAACCAAUAAGUUAUCUCUUAUGGAAACAUGCUAGCCAGCACAGCCAUCCUCUGCCUUAAUCGCACGUCUCUGCGGCCAUAAGCUUCCACUGGCUCCUACAAACUGAAUAUAAAAAACUAAGAGACAAGUGAGCAUCGGCACCCCUGCUGGGAAGGGCCCACUUUUCCCAUUCAAGUUGGGGUAUCAAGGUUUUGAGAGCUCAGAAUAUGAUGAAGUGCACAGCUACCACCUCUCUGGGAUGAAAGAACUGAGUUGUUCAUGUACUUCCUGGCAUUUCUUACCGUCUCACCAG